UUCAAGAAACUUGGAGAAAAGAGGGGAAAAAAAAUAAGAGAGGAAAAUUGGCAUAGCUAGGGAUUUUAUCCCUUGAAAUCUUGUUCCAAAAUUAAUUCUUCUAAUAUUCCAAGCAAGUUGAAGGCCCUAAUCAACAUAGAGUGAUUUUUGGAACAAGAAGACUAUUCAUUCUUGCAAGGCACAAUUCUAGCAAGUUGAAGAACUAAGUGGAAAAGAUUUUAGAAAGGCCAAGAGUUAGGUCGGGUGACUAAGGAAGCGGACAAGGUAUGUAAAGCUAACCGUUCCUUCUUUUGGCAUGUCUUUGGUAUAAGUAUGUAAGGCUUACCCUUUUCUUUCAAGGCAUGAUUCCGAUGUUAUGGUUUGAUAAGUGCUUCCAUAUUUUCUUUGUUUUCAAAAGCUAGGUGUCAAUGGUCCCAAGGAAAUGACUACUUUUUCCUAUAACCCGUUAAUAUUUUCCAAAAUGUCUAUAGUUUCCCAAAACAAAGGUUUGCAAUAUUACUAGCUUUUAUGGCAAUGACGAUGGAUAUGUUUUACAACGACAUUGAUGAUGUCGAGGAUGAGAAUAUGUCUAUGAUGGAUAUGAUAAGAACGGCUUCAUGUAUGUAAUGUUUACUCUUCUUUCUCUUGGCAUGUUUUGACAUAAGUAUAUAGAGCUACACUUUCUUUUGGCAUGAUUUUUAUGAAACAAGUAUAUGUCAUUUUGUACAAUUUCAAGGAAGUCCUAUUCGUAGAGCCACUAGGAUGGUCAAUUUUCUUGAGUUUCCAAAAGAUAUUUUUCUCGUGCUUAAAUACGUGUAUAUGAUUCCAAAAGUUUUAUGUUGAUAUAAUCCAUGGUAAUUUUUGAAAGGUACUUGAUAUGACUCUUAUCUUGUUUUGUUAAUCAUAGCUCAUUCCGAUUAUUCUACGAGUCUUGAAAAUUGGUCAUAUGUGCAUAUGUAUACGAUUUGACGCCUUAUAAGAUUGUGACCUUAUUCUACGUUCUCUUAAUAUUAUCUUUCGUUGAUAGUCUCAUCCUAUAAUAAUUGUUCCUUCAAGGUGAGACAAAGCGACCAUGGUUAGUCUAUAAUACAAUCGGAGGUUACCGACCUUCCGUCACUCCGAUAAAUACACGACUUUCAUUGGGCUCUCCUGCAUGCUGUCUAUAUGUAUAUGUAUAUGUAUAUGUGGGAUAUGGGGAGGUGUAUAUGUGGUGCUAUAGACACAUUCCCACCUGAUCAGUUGGAGUAAUUUUCAUCCUGGACGCGGGAUGCCCGGACGCGGGACAUAUGUGGGCACGCCGACGUUGUUCGGUGAUAUGACUUCUAUUUUCUAUGAAUAUGAACAAGAAAUGUUUUUUUUAUGAUAAGACAAGCAUGCAUGGCAUCCGGCCUAAAAGGGCACUCAUAUGUACAGGUUACUCUCUUAUCUCACUAUAUGUCUAUGAUUCUACGAUAUGGUUGUUCAUACCUUAUGUUCUUUAUUAUGCUGAUUUUCAUGCCUUACAUACUCGGUACAUUACUCGUACUGACCCCCUUUUCUUUGGGGGCUGCGUUUCAUGCCACGCAGGUACACCCAGACAAGUAGAAGUUACCAUAGAAGAUGUUGCAGCAGGGUUAGCAACUCCACUUGUUCUUGGAGUGCUGCCGAGUCAGAGUAUAUGUGCUAUGAUAUUUCAUUCGAAGUUAGAGACCUUGCAGACAGAGUCGUGGGUAUAGAGUGUCAUAUGUUAUGAGUUUUAUGGGAUGAUAGAUUUUGGAAAAAAUAAUUCACGAAGCGUAGUUAUGUUUUUCAUUUCUUGUUGAUGUAAAAGUCUAAGAGAUUGAGAAUGUAAUAUGAAUUAGCGGGUUCGCUCGGCUCCAAGCAUGGGGUCGGGUGCCCAGCACACCCUGUUGAGAUCGGGGUGUGAUAAUUCUUCCCAUUGA